GACGAACGCUGGCGGCGUGCUUAACACAUGCAAGUCGAGCGGUAAGGCCCUUUCGGGGGUACACGAGCGGCGAACGGGUGAGUAACACGUGGGUGACCUGCCCUCAGCUCUGGGAUAAGCCUGGGAAACUGGGUCUAAUACUGGAUAUGACUCCACGGUGCAUGUCGUAGGGUGGAAAGCCUUGUGCGGCUGAGGAUGGGCCCGCGGCCUAUCAGCUUGUUGGUGGGGUGANGGCCUACCAAGGCGACGACGGGUAGCCGGCCUGAGAGGGCGACCGGCCACACUGGGACUGAGACACGGCCCAGACUCCUACGGGAGGCAGCAGUAGGGAAUCUUGCGCAAUGGGCAAAGCCUGACGCAGCGACGCCGCGUG
rnacentral:rRNA from 1 species